AUUGAACGCUGGCGGCAUGCCUUACACAUGCAAGUCGAACGGCAGCACGGGAGCUUGCUCCUGGUGGCGAGUGGCGAACGGGUGAGUAAUAUAUCGGAACGUACCCUAGAGUGGGGGAUAACGCAGCGAAAGUUGCGCUAAUACCGCAUACGAUCUACGGAUGAAAGUGGGGGAUCGCAAGACCUCAUGCUCAUGGAGCGGCCGAUAUCUGAUUAGCUAGUUGGUGGGGUAAAGGCCUACCAAGGCAUCGAUCAGUAGCUGGUCUGAGAGGACGACCAGCCACACUGGAACUGAGACACGGUCCAGACUCCUACGGGAGGCAGCAGUGGGGAAUUUUGGACAAUGGGGGCGAACCCUACGAUCCAGCAAUGCCGCGUGAGUGAAGAAGGACCUUAGGG
rnacentral:rRNA from 1 species